rnacentral:miRNA from 1 species
GUGGAGGAGUGGGUUUU